GCUUCGGCGGGCCCGCCAUUUCAUGGGCCGCCGGGGGCUCUCAGCCCCGGGCCCGCGCCCGCCGGAGACACCACGAACUCUGUCUGAUCUAGUGAAGUCUGAGGUUGAUUGUAUCGGCAAUCAGUUAAAACUUUCAACAAUGGAUCUCUUGGUUCCGGCAUCGAUGAAGAACGCAGCGAGAAUGCGAUAACUAGUGGUGAAUUGCAGAAUUCCGUGAAUCAUCGAGUCUUUGGAACGCACAUUGCGCCCCCUGGUAUUCCGGGGGGCAUGCCUGUCCGAGCGUCAUUGCUGCCCAUCAAGCACGGCUUGUGUGUUGGGUCGUCGUCCCCUCUCCGGGGGGGACGGGCCCCAAAGGCAGCGGCGGCACCGCGUCCGAUCCUCGAGUCGUAUGGGGCUUUGUCACCCGCUCUGUAGGCCCGGCCCGGUCGUCUGCCGUCACGCAAAUCAAUCUUUUAUCCAGGUGACCUCGGAUCAGGUAG
rnacentral:rRNA from 1 species